AGUAUUUAUGUUCCUCCUAAAUGUACAUAUUUAAUUGGAUUUUUAGCCUUAAUAUCUUGUAUUUCUUUAUUUAUUAUUCGUUUAUUUAUUAUUGGUAUUUUGGCCUUACCUUUAGUGUAUUUACAAUCUAUGAUAUGUUCUCUUUGACUUACUACAUAAUAUUCUUCCUUUUGUCGUUUAAACCAGUUUCUUAUUGUUGGUAUUUCGAAUAUUUUCGCUACGCUUAGGUCUAAUUCUUUUCCUUUUAUUUGUUC
rnacentral:lncRNA from 1 species